rnacentral:lncRNA from 1 species
AUGACAUUGCCGUGGCCAUCCAGUGGUUUCCACGUGCUUUCACCGUACUCACACCAAGGUCACCUCUUUAUCAUCCCGUUCUCACCCCAUCUUCUCCUCGUAUUACUCCUGUCGUCUCCACAUGGUCACCUGGCACAAAUGCCACUGCCUGCCCAUAGCCUUCUCACUGUCACCCACUGUUUGCUCCAGCACCCUCUUGCUCACUCCACGCUCCACCCUUUUGAUCCAGGAUCCCCACGGUCCAUUCGUGAUCUUCCCGUGCUCUCUCCGUGCUCACCUGUUUGUCACCCCACGUCUGCUCCAGCACCCAAGGGCGGGUGCCCAUUCAGGGGAUGCGUGGGGCAGGAUUGGGAUGCAGGCACUGAGGGCACGCGGGAUAUCACCGCUCCUCACAGGAGGCCCUGCUUGCCACAAGCACCUCUCAUCCUGAGGGCAGCGCCCACGCUCAUUUUCACAGUGCCCACAGCCGUGCCCAGGGCACUCACAGGGUCUCACUUCUCUCAGAGGUGGCCAGUUGCUUCCUGUACCACUUCCCAGGCUCUUCCCAUCCUUUCCGGUCUGUGGUCGCUCUACGCCCAUCCAAGUGUCACUGCAUGGACAAUUCACGGCCACACAGUAUUCUGCCCGUGGUCUCUCCGUGGUCACCCCGUAGUUCCUUCGUACUUCCUUCAUGGUAACUCCAUGGUCACCCAAUGGUCCCGCUGGUCUCACUGUGGUUAUCCCAAGAUACCCCCACAAUCACCCCUUUGCCCCCCCAUUCUUACCCCACGUACCCCGAUACUGCAUCUCAUGUCUGACCGUGGUCACUUCAUGUUCUCCCCGUGGUCCCUUUUGAUCACCCCACGGUCACCCCCGGUUGCCCUCCUGGACCUCCCAGACCUCCCAGCACUGUUGCACAGGGCCACAAACGCUGCUGUCACACGGGUCAGCAGUGGGGCUGGGCUGUCUGCAAGCACCUUUCCUCUGACCAAGCACCCCAAGGACAGGACCCACAGAAGGGGAUGUGUGGACCAGGAUGGGGAUGUGGGGCUAUGA